rnacentral:rRNA from 1 species
AUGGACUGCCUUUUGCAUAAUGAGCCUGCGAGUUGUGGUGUCUGGCAAGGUUAAGCAAACGCGAAGCCGUAGCGAAAGCGAGUCUGAAUAGGGCGCUUAGUCAGAUGCUGCAGACCCGAAACGAAGUGAUCUAUCCAUGAGCAAGUUGAAGCUAGUGUAAGAACUAGUGGAGGACUGAACCCAUAGGCGUUGAAAAGCCCCGGGAUGACUUGUGGAUAGGGGUGAAAGGCCAAUCAAACUUCGUGAUAGCUGGUUCUCUCCGAAAUAUAUUUAGGUAUAGCGUUGUGUCGUAAUAUAAGGGGGUAGAGCACUGAAUGGGCUAGGGCAUACACCAAUGUACCAAACCCUAUCAAACUCCGAAUACCUUAUAUGUAAUCACAGCAGUCAGGCGGCGAGUGAUAAAAUCCGUCGUCAAGAGGGAAACAACCCAGACUACCAGCUAAGGUCCCUAAAUCUUACUUAAGUGGAAAACGAUGUGAAGUUACUUAAACAACCAGGAGGUUGGCUUAGAAGCAGCCAUCCUUUAAAGAAAGCGUAAUAGCUCACUGGUCUAGUGAUUUUGCGCGGAAAAUAUAACGGGGCUAAAGUAAGUACCGAAGCUGUAGACUUAGUUUACUAAGUGGUAGGAGAGCGUUCUAUUUGCGUCGAAGGUAUACCGGUAAGGAGUGCUGGAGCGAAUAGAAGUGAGCAUGCAGGCAUGAGUAGCGAUAAUUAAUGUGAGAAUCAUUAACGCCGUAAACCCAAGGUUUCCUACGCGAUGCUCGUCAUCGUAGGGUUAGUCGGGUCCUAAGUCGAGUCCGAAAGGGGUAGACGAUGGCAAAUUGGUUAAUAUUCCAAUACCAACAUUAGUGUGCGAUGGAAGGACGCUUAGGGCUAAGGGGGCUAGCGGAUGGAAGUGCUAGUCUAAGGUCGUAGGAGGUUAUACAGGCAAAUCCGUAUAACAAUACUCCGAGAACUGAAAGGCUUUUUGAAGUCUUCGGAUGGAUAGAAGAACCCCUGAUGCCGUCGAGCCAAGAAAAGUUUCUAAGUUUAGCUAAUGUUGCCCGUACCGUAAACCGACACAGGUGGGUGGGAUGAGUAUUCUAAGGCGCGUGGAAGAACUCUCUUUAAGGAACUCUGCAAAAUAGCACCGUAUCUUCGGUAUAAGGUGUGGUUAGCUUUGUAUUAGGAUUUACUCCGAAAGCAAGGAAACUUACAACAAAGAGUCCCUCCCGACUGUUUACCAAAAACACAGCACUCUGCUAACUCGUAAGAGGAUGUAUAGGGUGUGACGCCUGCCCGGUGCUCGAAGGUUAAUUGAUGGGGUUAGCAUUAGCGAAGCUCUUGAUCGAAGCCCGAGUAAACGGCGGCCGUAACUAUAACGGUCCUAAGGUAGCGAAAUUCCUUGUCGGUUAAAUACCGACCUGCAUGAAUGGCGUAACGAGAUGGGAGCUGUCUCAAAGAGGGAUCCAGUGAAAUUGUAGUGGAGGUGAAAAUUCCUCCUACCCGCGGCAAGACGGAAAGACCCCGUGGACCUUUACUACAGCUUGACACUGCUACUUGGAUAAGAAUGUGCAGGAUAGGUGGGAGGCUUUGAGUAUAUGACGCCAGUUGUAUAUGAGCCAUUGUUGAGAUACCACUCUUUCUUAUUUGGGUAGCUAACCAGCUUGAGUUAUCCUCAAGUGGGACAAUGUCUGGUGGGUAGUUUGACUGGGGCGGUCGCCUCCCAAAUAAUAACGGAGGCUUACAAAGGUUGGCUCAGAACGGUUGGAAAUCGUUCGUAGAGUAUAAAGGUAUAAGCCAGCUUAACUGCAAGACAUACAAGUCAAGCAGAGACGAAAGUCGGUCUUAGUGAUCCGGUGGUUCUGUGUGGAAGGGCCAUCGCUCAAAGGAUAAAAGGUACCCCGGGGAUAACAGGCUGAUCUCCCCCAAGAGCUCACAUCGACGGGGAGGUUUGGCACCUCGAUGUCGGCUCAUCGCAUCCUGGGGCUGGAGCAGGUCCCAAGGGUAUGGCUGUUCGCCAUUUAAAGCGGUACGCGAGCUGGGUUCAGAACGUCGUGAGACAGUUCGGUCCCUAUCUGCCGUGGGCGUAAGAAGAUUGAAGAGAUUUGACCCUAGUACGAGAGGACCGGGUUGAACAAACCACUGGUGUAGCUGUUGUUCUGCCAAGAGCAUCGCAGCGUAGCUAAGUUUGGAAAGGAUAAACGCUGAAAGCAUCUAAGCGUGAAGCCAACUCUAAGAUGAAUCUUCUCUAAGCUCUCUAGAAGACUACUAGUUUGAUAGGCUGGGUGUGUAAUGGAUGAAAGUCCUUUAGCUGACCAGUACUAAUAGAGCGUUUGGCUUAUCUUUAAUAAAGCAU